UUAAUUGAAGCCAAAAAGAGGCAUAUCACUGUUAAUGAUAUCAUUAGAAAUUUAUUUCUCAAUUAAG
rnacentral:tRNA from 1 species